UAUGAACCCAACUGUGCGUCCCUCAAGAGAGAGAGGUCAAAGGAUUAUGGUGUUAACUUUAAAGGCAGAAGUUCAGGAGAACAUAAGAGCCAGAGUAAUGCUGAAAGGAACCAACCUGGACCUGAAUAUGAACCCAACUGUGAGCCCCUCAGGAGAGAAAGGUCAAAGGAUUAUGGUGUUAACUUUAAAGGCAGAAGUUCAGGAGAACAUAAGAGCCAGAGUAAUGCUGAAAGGAACCAACCUGGACCUGAAUAUGAACCCAACUGUGAGUCCAUCAGGAGUGACAGGUCAAAGGAUUAUGGUGUUAACUUCAAAGACAUCAGUUCAAGAGUGGAACAGUAAGUGCUUGUCAGAGUUAAAGGAGGCUAGAUAAUAAUUCAGCUGAUCAAUAGUUUUCAGCUGAAAGACUUGAGGUCUGGUUUAGUUCUUGAUCUCUCUGAAAGAGGGGCGUUGCAUGCAAAUUUGUCCCACAAAUCGCAUUUGGUGUAAAAGCUACUUAAGGGCAGGGAUAACUAGCGUAGUUUAGUCUGUUUAGUUUAGCAAUCAACUAUUGUUUAUAUUUAAAACCAACUUGCUGCUUCUGUUCAAUUACCGGCAUGAAGCUCAAUGAGACAACUGUUUAGUGAUAUUAGGCUAUAUAAAUAAAGUUGAAUUGAAUUGAAUACGUGU